GGAGUCUGGGCCGUGUCUCAGUCCCAAUGUGGCCGUUCAACCUCUCAGUCCGGCUACUGAUCGUCGCCUUGGUGGGCCGUUACCUCACCAACUAGCUAAUCAGACGCGAGCUCAUCUUCAGGCAAUAAAUCUUUGAUAGCAAAAUCAUGCGGUUUCGCUAUGUUAUGCGGUAUUAACAGUCGUUUCCAACUGGUAUCCCCCACCCAAAGGCAGAUUGCUCACGUGUUACUCACCCGUCCGCCACUGAUCCAUGGUGCAAGCACCAUUUCACCGUUCGACUUGCAUGUGUUAAGCGUGCCGCCAGCGUUCGUC
rnacentral:rRNA from 1 species